AACGAACGCUGGCGGCAGGCCUAACACAUGCAAGUCGAGCGAGGACUUCGGUCCUAGCGGCGGACGGGUGAGUAACGCGUGGGAACGUGCCCUUUGCUUCGGAAUAGCCCUGGGAAACUGGGAGUAAUACCGGAUGAGCCCUUUGGGGGAAAGAUUUAUCGGCGAAGGAUCGGCCCGCGUUGGAUUAGGUAGUUGGUGGGGUAAUGGCCUACCAAGCCGACGAUCCAUAGCUGGUUUCAGAGGAUGAUCAGCCACACUGGGACUGAGACACGGCCCAGACUCCUACAGGAGGCAGGAGUGGGGAAUCUUAGACAAUGGGGGAAACCCUGAUCUAGCCAUGCCGCGUGAGCGAUGAAGGCCUUAGGGUUGUAAAGCUCUUUCAGCUGGGAAGAUAAUGACGGUACCAGCAGAAGAAGCCCCGGCUAACUCCGUG
rnacentral:rRNA from 1 species